AUAAUCUGUGAACUUUGUUUUUUCAGUUCAAGACCGUUAAUUAAAUCCAGUAACAGACCCGUACUGUGUUAUUGCUCGGUGCAUUUUUUUUAAUUAAACCAAUUAAUUCGAAUAUUAAAAAUAGCAGCGGCAACAUAACGACUACGAAUACGAGCAGUAGAAUGUGCAUAAUUUAUAAGUUAUUUGUAGUGUUCAUAAAAGUUAUCGCGAUUAUAUGUGCAUACAUUCAUUGAAACACAUCAGCCUUUAACUUCUCGAUUUGGAGCUAAAUGCCUGCCUAUUGUCUCACAGUGCAAACAUCUGCCUGCUGGUUCGUUCUGGAGUUGACAGCGGUCAGUUUGCCACGUAGUAUUGACUUCCUGAUGGAGGAUGAAAGCCGCAACCGGGACGGGAGCUUGAGGGAUCGGCGGCGCGCGGCUGCGUGCCCAAGUAUGAACUUCGUCUGAAACUCACCUUCUGAAGCACUGUGCACUUUUCUUAAGAGUUUAACAGCACCCUCCGUCUAAAGAUUAGUGUAAAUAUCCAAGGAAAGCGUGAACAUUCAGCUUAAGGCAAGCACGGGCAUUUCAUACAGUAGGAAUCAUGAUUCUUGUUAGUAACUUUUGGGUCUGGAACAAGCCUUAAACACAAAUGCACAUAAAAAUGGGUCGCUCUGUUCUGAUCUUCACCUCCGUGGUAUCCACGCUUGGCGGCUUUGUAUUUGGGUAUGAGCUGGCAAUUAUCUCUGGAGCCCUUCUUCAACUUCAGACACAGUUCCACCUCAACUGUUUCCAGCAGGAGGCGGUAGUGAGCUCUCUUCUUAUCGGGGCACUUCUGGCCUCUAUGAUCGGGGGGGUCUUGAUCGACCGGCAUAGCCGGAGGAACCCCAUAACGCUCAGCAACCUGCUCAUCCUCGGCGGGAGCAUCGUCCUGGUCGCCAGUUGCUCUGUCUCCGCCCUGGUGGUGGGCAGAAUCACCGUGGGCUUUGCCAUAUCCUUAUCCUCCAUGUCCUGCUGCAUUUUUGUGUCUGAGAUGGUGAAUCCGGAGCGCAGGGGCCUCUUAGUCAGCCUCUAUGAAGCUGGCAUUACAGUUGGCAUCCUGGUUGCCUAUGCCAUGAACUACAUGUUAUCCAGUGUUCCGGAAGGAUGGAAAUACAUGUUUGGUUUUCCCAUCGCUCCAUCACUGGUUCAGUUCAUCUCCAUUUGGUUCCUCCCAUCCAACCCUGGAAUGCCUUUGGAAGAGACCUCAGAGGCCCAAGCUCAGAUUGGGCUUAUGCAGCUGGCCAGUGCUGAGGAGACUGAGGCUGACGGGAAUAACACAGACUGUUCGGACAAACGACAAAAUGCACUUGUGGCUCUGUUUCAGAGUAAAGACAACAUGCGGAUGAGGACGUUCAUUGGUCUGGGCCUCGUGCUUUUCCAGCAGUUCACCGGCCAGCCCAACGUGCUCUUCUAUGCCUCCACGAUCUUUCAUUCAGUGGGAUUUAAGUCCGGUGCCUCUGCUGUGCUAGCUUCAGUGGGGGUGGGCGUCACGAAGGUCAUUGCUACCUUGGUGUCCAUGAUCUAUGCCGACAGAGCAGGCCGGAGAGUGUUGCUGAUUGGAGGAUGCACCGUGAUGACGGUCUCUCUGGUUAUCAUUGGUCUUCUUAGCAACCAAACGCUACACAAUGAGAGGGGGAGUUACUGUGACACUAACAGGUUCCAAAACGGAAGCUCCCAGUUACAGGAUCCCACAGAUGGGAACUUAACACCUCUCCCACUGGUUAUUCUGAACCGGACCCUCGAAAGUUAUAAAGAUGUGAAGGCUGCAGAAGAUGCUGGUUUGUGGCAUUUGGAUACUUCUAGUUUCAAAGGUUUGCAUUUGAACCCAGCACCACACAGCUCUGCUUCAUCCCCAGUACCAGACAGGACCACAGAUCAAGGGGUCAUGGACUGGAUCAUCUUAAUCAGCAUGAUGGCUUACGUCAGUGCCUAUUCAAUAGGAUUUGGGCCGAUGACUUGGCUUGUACUCAGCGAGAUCUUCCCUGUUUGGCUGAGGGGAAGAGCUUUUGCCUUGGCGAGCUGCUUUAACUGGGCUGCUAACCUGAUUGUUACUUUCACCUUCUUAAGCCUGAUCGAUCUUGUAGGUCUGUCCUGGACUUUCCUUCUCUAUGGCAUGAUUGGAGUAGUUGCUGUUGUGUUCAUUUACAUCAUGUUACCUGAGACCAAAGGAAAAUCCCUUCAAGAAAUCGACAAGGAGCUGUCCGGGAACAGGUUUCACCAUGGAGGAGAAUGCUGUAACGUGAUGAAAAUAAGAGUUUCGUCAGUGGGCUAUGAAAGAGUGACUACAACCAGCAUGUCUGUGUUGUACGCAACAGUUCCAUAGACCUACCCUGGUUAAUGUUCUGUUUUAGGUCCUGCUGCAUGGCAUCUUCUCAAGGUUUACUUAAAAACUCAAAUUCACAGAAGCAAGGGAACGCCGGUGGGGAAGGGAGGAGCCGACAUUCCCAGGCUGCUUCGACAAACGACCCAAUUGGAAAAGAAGUUU